GCUGAUAUAGCUCAGUUGGUAGAGCAUGAGACUCUUAAUCUCAGGGUUGUGGGUACGAGCCCCACCUUGGACA